rnacentral:rRNA from 1 species
UACGUAGGGUGCGAGCGUUAAUCGGAAUUACUGGGCGUAAAGCGUGCGCAGGCGGCUUUGCAAGACAGAUGUGAAAUCCCCGGGCUCAACCUGGGAACUGCAUUUGUGACUGCAAGGCUAGAAUACGGCAGAGGGGGAUGGAAUUCCGCGUGUAGCAGUGAAAUGCGUAGAUAUGCGGAGGAACACCAAUGGCGAAGGCAAUCCCCUGGGCCUGUACUGACGCUCAUGCACGAAAGCGUGGGGAGCAAACAGG